rnacentral:rRNA from 1 species
GUAGUCCACGCCCUAAACGAUGGAUACUAGGCGUAAGAGGUAUCGACCCCUCUUGUGCCGCAGCUAACGCAUUAAGUAUCCCGCCUGGGGAGUACGGCCGCAAGGUUGAAACUCAAAUGAAUUGACGGGGACCCGCACAAGCGGUGGAGCAUGUGGAUUAAUUCGAUACUAACCGAAGAACCUUACCCAGGUUUGACAUCGAAGGAAAGCCGAUGAAAGUCGGCCCUCCCCCAAAAGGGGACCUGAAGACAGAUGUUGCAUGGCUGUCGUCAGCUCGUGCCGUGAGGUGUACGGUUAAGUCCGCCAACGAGCGCAACCCUCGUCCUGUGUUACCAGCGAGAAAGUCGGGAACUCACAGGAGACCGCCGGUGUAAAUCGGA